GGUAUUAUAUAAAGGGGGUCAUUAGUUCGUACCUGCACAUUUGAACGACACGCACUGGAAAUUUUUUUUUACGAAGACACUAUUGAUGGUUAAUUACACGGCGCGACGGUAAAAAAAAAACCAUACAUAAAUACACUAAUCAACAUAAAUUAUAACAAGUCGGGCCCUUUGUAAAACUAGUGUUAGUGUACUUACUUAGCUACUCUAAACGUAUAUACAGUUUGAAAGUUGAAACCGAAAAUUAUAUUCUUCGUACGAAAUGAAAUCGUUUUCGAAGCUGGUAACUGCGCAGUAUUUUAUUCUAUAUGGCGCAGUAGGUAGAUAGGUAUAUAUCGAAACUAUAUUAUGUAUGAACUGAACUAGGUAUGUUGCAUAUAGGUGCAUAGACCCCUCGAAUGGAAUGUGUUUUAGCGCCAGAAUAAAAUGUAAAAACCGGAACAAUAUUUUAAUGUAUUGUG